UUCGGGUGGGAGUGGCAGACGGGUGAGUAACACGUGGGAACGUACCCUUUGGUUCGGGACAACUCUGGGAAACUGGAGCUAAUACCGGAUACGCCCUUUUGGGGAAAGGUUUACUGCCGAAGGAUCGGCCCGCGUCUGAUUAGCUAGUUGGUGGGGUAACGGCCUACCAAGGCGACGAUCAGUAGCUGGUCUGAGAGGAUGAUCAGCCACACUGGGACUGAGACACGGCCCAGACUCCUACGGGAGGCAGCAGUGGGGAAUAUUGGACAAUGGGCGCAAGCCUGAUCCAGCCAUGCCGCGUGAGUGAUGAAGGCCUUAGGGUUGUAAAGCUCUUUUAUCCGGGACGAUAAUGACGGUACCGGAGGAAUAAGCCCCGGCUAACUUCGUGCCAGCAGCCGCGGUAAUACGAAGGGGGCUAGCGUUGCUCGGAAUCACUGGGCGUAAAGGGCGCGUAGGCGGCGUUUUAAGUCGGGGGUGAAAGCCUGUGGCUCAACCACAGAAUGGCCUUCGAUACUGGGACGCUUGAGUCUGGUAGAGGUUGGUGGAGCUGCGAGUGUAGAGGUGAAAUUCGUAGAUAUUCGCAAGAACACCGGUGGCGAAGGCGGCCAACUGGACCGGCACUGACGCUGAGGCGCGAAA
rnacentral:rRNA from 1 species